GCCGGGUGUGGUGGCUCACACCUGUAAUCCCAGCACUUUGGGAGGCUGAGGUGGGCAGAUCACCUGAGGUCAGGAGUUCGAGACCAGCCUGGCCAACAUGGUGAAACCCCAUCUCUA
rnacentral:SRP_RNA from 2 species